UGGGGAAUAUUGCACAAUGGGCGCAAGCCUGAUGCAGCGACGCCGCGUGGGGGAUGACGGCCUUCGGGUUGUAAACCUCUUUCACCAUCGGCGAAGCCGGGAGCUUUUGUUUCCGGUGACGGUAGGUGGAGAAGAAGCACCGGCCAACUACGUGCCAGCAGCCGCGGUAAUACGUAGGGUGCGAGCGUUGUCCGGAAUUACUGGGCGUAAAGAGCUCGUAGGUGGUUUGUCGCGUUGCGUCCGUGAAAUUCCCCUGGCUUAACUGGGGGGCGUGCGGGCGAUACGGGCAGACUGGAGUACUGCAGGGGAGACUGGAAUUCCUGGUGUAGCGGUGGAAUGCGCAGAUAUCAGGAGGAACACCGGUGGCGAAGGCGGGUCUCUGGGCAGUAACUGACGCUGAGGAGCGAAAGCGUGGGGAGCGAACAGGAUUAGAUACCCUGGUAGUCCACGCCGUAAACGGUGGGUACUAGG
rnacentral:rRNA from 1 species